rnacentral:rRNA from 1 species
GCAAGUCGAGCGCGCAAGUUUCCCUUCGGGGAAGCGAGUAGAGCGGCAGACGGUUGAGUAACACGUGGGCAACCUAUCCGAAGGCGGGGAAUAACCACUCGAAAGGGUGGCUAAUACCGCAUACGGCUAUAAAUCCUCGGAUUUAUAGUCAAAGGCUUCGGCCACCUUCGGAGGGGCCCGCGGUCGAUUAGCUAGUUGGUGGGGUAACGGCCUACCAAGGCGACGAUCGAUAGCUGGUCUGAGAGGAUGAGC